ACGCUCGACACCUACGGGAGCAGCAGUGGGGGAUAUUGCACAAUGGGGGAAACCCUGAUGCAGCAACGCCGCGUGUGGGAAGAAGGUUUUCGGAUUGUAAACCACUGUUCUCAGGGACGAUAAUGACGGUACCUGAGGAGAAAGCUCCGGCUAACUACGUGCCAACAGCCGCGGUAAUCUGAGCGGGCUGGCAAGGC
rnacentral:rRNA from 1 species